CGAAGGUAGGAUUGAUGACUGGGGUGAAGUCGUAACAAGGUAGCCGUAUCGGAAGGUGCGGCUGGAUCACCUCCUUUCUAAGGAG
rnacentral:rRNA from 1 species